rnacentral:siRNA from 1 species
GAAGAUGAGAGGAUCCGUGAUGAC